AAGGUAUUUUGGGAGCUCGAUGCUUUCUUCGACAAGAUUAUCAGCAUGCACCUCCACCCGUCCCGCUCCACACCGGACAACGGGCCCAGCUUCAUCGACGUCCUUAUUGGCCUCACCAAGGAGCACGAGGGCACUUUCAGUUGGUUCACUGGAGACCACAUCAAGGGAAUGUUAUCGGUACUCAACGUCAUGAACAUAUAAAAUUUAUAGUAGAAAAGAGGAUUUAUGGAGCUAUAUAUUAUUUCAUUUAUAACUGUUAUGCAUACCAUCUUUCAGGAUACGUUCAUAGGUGGAGUUGACACGAACUCGGUCACGGUGGUCUGGGCAAUGGCCGAGCUGAUUCGAAACCCGGAGGUUCUUAAGAAGGCACAAGACGAGAUCAGAGGAGCGGUGGGCAACAAAAAGAGGGUAGAGCCGGACGACUUGCCCAAACUCAAGUACCUUAAGAUGGUGGUAAAGGAGACGCUACGGCUACACCCGGUGGUACCGCUUCUAGCUCCGAGGGAGACCAUGCGGCACAUCAAGAUCUGCGGAUACGAUGUGCCUGCCAAGACAAGGAUCUUUGUAAAUGUUUGGGCAAUUGGCAGGGACCCUGCAAGCUGGAGUAACUCCGAGGAAUUUGACCCAGAUAGAUUUGAGGGGAAUGGUGUCGACUUCAAUGGGGCACAUUUUGAGCUUCUGCCGUUCGGCGCCGGACGUAGGAUGUGCCCUGGAGUGGCCAUGGGGGUGGCGAUAGUAGAGUUCGCGCUGGCCAACCUGCUCUACUGCUUUGAGUGGGAGCUCCCAGAUGGUACGACGGCGGAGGAUGUGAGCAUGGAAGAGGCAGGAGGGCUCACCAUCAACAAGAAGUUCCCCCUCGUGCUUGUGCCGACCAAGUACAAGUGGCAGAGAUCAUGAGUCAUGACCAGCUUAUAUUACCAAGACCGCUUAUGGAUCCAUGACCAAGUACAAGUAAUAUCUAAAUAAGUCCGAUCAUUUAUGAGAUAUAUAUGAUGUUGGAUCUCCAAAAGGAUGUGGUAAUC
rnacentral:lncRNA from 1 species